rnacentral:rRNA from 1 species
AACGAACGCUGGCGGCAUGCCUAACACAUGCAAGUCGAACGAGACCUUCGGGUCUAGUGGCGCACGGGUGCGUAACGCGUGGGAACCUGCCCUUAGGUUCGGAAUAACUCCCCGAAAGGGGUGCUAAUACCGGAUAAUGUCUUCGGACCAAAGAUUUAUCGCCUUUGGGUGGGCCCGCGUUGGAUUAGCUAGUUGGUAGGGUAAAAGCCUACCAAGGCGACGAUCCAUAGCUGGUCUGAGAGGAUGAUCAGCCACACUGGGACUGAGACACGGCCCAGACUCCUACGGGAGGCAGCAGUGGGGAAUAUUGGACAAUGGGCGAAAGCCUGAUCCAGCAAUGCCGCGUGAGUGAUGAAGGCCUUAGGGUUGUAAAGCUCUUUUACCCGGGAUGAUAAUGACAGUACCGGGAGAAUAAGCGCCGGCUAACUCCGU